GGCAGCCAAAGGAGCAGCAAGGCAAAAGGCCAACUACAGCAAAGACCCGAGCCCCGCUUACGGGGAGGUCGCCCAGCACAACGCCAGCCUGGUCACCAAAGGCGCCGGCAGCUCUCAACUCAAACGUGACUGUGCCCCCGCUAACGGGACAGGUGCUUUGCCCAGGGAGCCUCUCUCCUUCCCCCCCGCAUCUGCACGCUUCCGCUUCCUCUUCUUGCUUGCUCCUGCCUCCCAGGCAGCGGGGCGGCACGGCCAAAGGCCGCAGUCGGGAUCCCAGCCCCGAUUCCAGGGAGGGCGCAAGCCCCACCCCGCAUCUCACGGCCCCGCGCCUCUGAAAGGCCGGGGCCACAUUCCCACCUGAGUACAGGGGGUCUCUCAGAACGCAGCUCACCAAGCACACACGGGGGGCACACACAGCCCUGCCUACAGGACGGUACCCCCACACCUCACCCUCUUCAAGAAGCCCCGCGGAGCACGAGGCUCCCGCCAACGCCUGAGUUACAGGCUGGCCCGCCCGGCAGCAGCAGAACAUCACCAACGCCUCGUCUUUGGAAGCCCAGGGAGCUACCUCG
ensembl:lncRNA